UACGAAGGGAGCUAGCGUUGUUCGGAAUCACUGGGCGUAAAGCGCACGUAGGCGGAUGUGCCAGUCAGGGGUGAAAUCCCGGAGCUCAACUCCGGAACUGCCUCUGAUACAGCACGUCUUGAGUCCGGAAGAGGUGGGUGGAAUUCCUAGUGUAGAGGUGAAAUUCGUAGAUAUUAGGAAGAACACCGGUGGCGAAGGCGGCCCACUGGUCCGGUACUGACGCUGAGGCGCGAAGGCGUGGGGAGCGAACGGG
rnacentral:rRNA from 1 species